rnacentral:rRNA from 1 species
UACGUAGGGAGCAAGCGUUGUCCGGAAUUAUUGGGCGUAAAGCGCGCGUAGGUGGCUUCGUAAGUCCGUUGUGAAAGUCAAAGGCUCAACCUUUGAAAGCCGAUGGAUACUGCGGAGCUAGAGUACGGAAGAGGCGAGUGGAAUUCCUGGUGUAGCGGUGGAAUGCGCAGAUAUCAGGAGGAACACCAAUAGCGAAGGCAGCUUGCUGGGACAUUACUGACACUGAGGCGCGAAAGCGUGGGGAGCGAACAGG